GAACGCAGUGUGUGGUGAAAGCCACAAGCACUGUGUGGAGGAGGGGAAAAGGUAGAGACAGUAUCAAAACCUUACCUAUUCCUAU
rnacentral:ncRNA from 1 species